AUAGGUGGCAAGCGUUGUCCGGAAUUAUUGGGCGUAAAGCGCGCGCAGGCGGUUCUUUAAGUCUGAUGUGAAAGCCCACGGCUCAACCGUGGAGGGUCAUUGGAAACUGGAGAACUUGAGUACAGAAGAGGAAAGCGGAAUUCCACGUGUAGCGGUGAAAUGCGUAGAGAUGUGGAGGAACACCAGUGGCGAAGGCGGCUUUCUGGUCUGUAACUGACGCUGAGGCGCGAAAGCGUGGGGAGCAAACAGGGAUUAGAUACCCUGGUAGUCCACGCCGUAAACGAUGAGUGCUAAGUGUUAGGGGGUUUCCCGCCCCCUUAGUGCUGCAGCUAACGCAUUAAGCACUCCGCCUGGGGAGUACGGCCGCAAGGCUG
rnacentral:rRNA from 1 species